CUUUUGUGUAGUGAGCUUGUUUGUGUGAAUGAGCUGGUCUGUAGAGAAGUUUUGUGUAUGUGUCAAUGAGCUUGUGUGGGUCUGAGAGCUUCUGUGUGUUUCAUUGAGUUUGUCUGUAGUCAAAUUGUGUGUCAGAUAGCUUGUCUGCAGUACAUUUGUGGGUGUGUGUCAGUGAGCUUUUCUGUUUUGUGCCAUGGAGUUUGUGUGAUUUAUUCAAGUUGAGCAUGUAUACUGAUGUUGAUUUGAGAAUGGAG